AGUGAACGCUGGCGGUAGGCCUAACACAUGCAAGUCGAACGGCAGCACAGUAAGAGCUUGCUCUUGCGGGUGGCGAGUGGCGGACGGGUGAGGAAUACAUCGGAAUCUACUUUUUCGUGGGGGAUAACGUAGGGAAACUUACGCUAAUACCGCAUACGACCUACGGGUGAAAGCAGGGGAUCUUCGGACCUUGCGCGACUGAAUGAGCCGAUGUCGGAUUAGCUAGUUGGCGGGGUAAAGGCCCACCAAGGCGACGAUCCGUAGCUGGUCUGAGAGGAUGAUCAGCCACACUGGAACUGAGACACGGUCCAGACUCCUACGGGAGGCAGCAGUGGGGAAUAUUGGACAAUGGGCGCAAGCCUGAUCCAGCCAUACCGCGUGGGUGAAGAAGGCCUUCGGGUUGUAAAGCCCUUUUGUUGGGAAAGAAAAGCAGCAGGUUAAUACCCCGCUGUUCUGACGGUACCCAAAGAAUAAGCACCGGCUAACUUCGUG
rnacentral:rRNA from 1 species